GAGGCAUUCUGGCAAAAAUGCUGAUAAUCAGUGGCGAUGUUCCAAGAAGCAGCAAAGCCUAAGUAGAUUAAUGCAGACAGAAGGGAAUUAUUGUGUUCAUUUGUUUGCAAUCAGGAAGCAAAACAAGCAGAAUCUGGAAAGUUAGGUGUUGGAGACUACAAUCAAGAGAUACUUGGAAGAGCAG
rnacentral:lncRNA from 11 species